GCCCCUCAGGUCCUGAAUGACCGGAAAUGGCCCCAACCUAUGAUUGAGUGAGGCUGAAAGGGCUGCUUUUAGCUCCAGCUGUUUUCUUUUAAAAUCUUAGGAUGGAACUCAGGCCUCGAGGCUGAGCCUAUUUUUAAAGUAAAACUUCCUCCGUAGGAAAGGAUGUACUCUGCUCAGGGUACGUUGUAACACCUAAAGUCUCACUUCCACUCCACGGAGCGUGAACAGCCAAAAGGGCCUUCACCAUGCUGAGUCCUAUAGCCCAACGACGGCUCCGGAUGCAAGACCCAGGGCCUUACUUCCGGGAGCCUUGAACACCCCAAAAGGCCUCCAAGAUGUUGGGACCUAACUCAGUGAGGCUCCGGAAGCUCGACAAGAACACACCAGGUCCAGGAAGGAUAAAGACAAUCCAAGAAAGGGAGACCCAUUGUGAAGUUAUCCAACCAGAAAUGCACAGAGAGCCCAUGGAUCAUCCCAGAGAACCUUACAGAUAGCAGCCAGGCUUCUGGGAUCAGGGAGAGGCUCCAGGCUUUCCGGUGAGUAACAGAGGGAGGCUUGUAGUCCUAUCUCAUACCCUCAGAUGCCAUAAUCACCCUGUAUCUCAAUCCACACUCUCUGACUCUUGCUGUCUGAUUUAAUUCAUCUUGAAGAAUUUAUUAAUGCAGUAUGUUUGAGCAUGUCUAUGUGUAAAUGCCUGUGUGUCUGUAGGCUGUCAGAGCCUUCCCCGCCCCCCAAAAAAUGCUGCUGUCUAGAAGGCUCUGACUGCAAGGAGACCAAGAGGGGAUAGGUCAUCACUGAGGCCAACACGAAGAGUUUGGUUUGUCCACAAAAACACGCCUUGUGGUUUGCCCCACAAUCCACUGUGGGUUCAGUACUGUGUAACUUCUUACUCCCCCCUUAGAGUUUUUGCCUCUCCUUCCCUCACUCCACCCUCCCUCCCCG
rnacentral:lncRNA from 1 species